GAUGAACGCUAGCGGCAGGCCUAACACAUGCAAGUCGAGGGGUAGAGGAAGCUUGCUUCCUUGAGACCGGCGCACGGGUGCGUAACGCGUAUGCAAUCUACCUUUUACAGAGGGAUAGCCCAGAGAAAUUUGGAUUAAUACCUCAUAGUAUAUAUCAUUCGCCUGUUUGAUAUAUUAAAGUUCCAACGGUAAAAGAUGAGCAUGCGUCCCAUUAGUUAGUUGGUAAGGUAACGGCUUACCAAGACGAUGAUGGGUAGGGGUCCUGAGAGGGAGAUCCCCCACCCUGGUACUGAGACACGGACCAGACUACUGCGGGAGGCAGCAGUGAGGAAUAUUGGUCAAUGGACGCAAGUCUGAACCAGCCAUGCCGCGUGCAGGAAGACGGUCCUAUGGAUUGUAAACUGCUUUUGUACGGGAAGAAACACUCUUACGUGUAGGAGCCUGACGGUACCGUAAGAAUAAGGAUCGGCUAACUCCGUGCCAGCCGCCGCAGUAA
rnacentral:rRNA from 1 species